rnacentral:rRNA from 1 species
AGAGUUUGAUCCUGGCUCAGAUUGAACGCUGGCGGCAGGCCUAACACAUGCAAGUCGAGCGGUAACAGAGAGUAGCUUGCUACUUUGCUGACGAGCGGCGGACGGGUGAGUAAUGCUUGGGAACAUGCCUUGAGGUGGGGGACAACAGUUGGAAACGACUGCUAAUACCGCAUAAUGUCUACGGACCAAAGGGGGCUUCGGCUCUCGCCUUUAGAUUGGCCCAAGUGGGAUUAGCUAGUUGGUGAGGUAAUGGCUCACCAAGGCGACGAUCCCUAGCUGGUUUGAGAGGAUGAUCAGCCACACUGGGACUGAGACACGGCCCAGACUCCUACGGGAGGCAGCAGUGGGGAAUAUUGCACAAUGGGCGCAAGCCUGAUGCAGCCAUGCCGCGUGUGUGAAGAAGGCCUUCGGGUUGUAAAGCACUUUCAGUCAGGAGGAAAGGUUAGUAGUUAAUACCUGCUAGCUGUGACGUUACUGACUACAGAAGAGCCCGUAAAGCACGUGCCAGCAGCCGCGGUAAUAC